ACUGGAUCAGCAGCCUUCAGUUGGAGGAACACAGCCAGCUCCUGGUGACCCCACAGGGAGAGAGCGGGAGCACUAAGGAUUCCAAACUCAGUCCUCCUGAUCUUCAUCAGUAUUCGUCAUUGGCCAAACAAAUAACUGAAAUUCAGAGGGCAAGAGAGCUCAUUGUUAUCUAAACAGGUCAGCAUGGCAGACAGCGAGGCGAAGAGGGAAGGAAGGUGGAUUUGGAAGAACAAACGGGAGUGACCUAGUGCAGCCCUGAUAAACCCGUGAGGAAACAGACGCACACAGAGGUGAAGCAGCUUCCCCAAAGGCGCAUGGCUAAGAGUGGUUAUUUGUCUCCUUGUCACGCUGUUUUGAGGGAAGGAUUCCUACACUAGGAUUAUGAAGAUCGCCAAACAGAUGACGCUGGAUCCCAGAAAAGUGGGGCAGAAUGCAGUUUAGUUGUCACAUAUGCUCACAGCCUAGGGAAGAAGACAGCGGACAGCCCACAGGGCCACGCGAUGGUUCAAGAACAGAGUGAACAGCCAGGGCCUGUGAAAGAGGGAGGAAUCUCCCAGUGUUUGUGCCAUGUUUUGAUCUGACUGAAAGCCAUAAACAUAGCCGAAGCCUGGGCCAUCCACAGAAGACCCAAUGUUCUCUUUUUCCAAGUGGGCAUUUUGUAUCUCUGAAGAGUUCUAGACUGAGCUACAUCAGUAGACCUCUGCAUUUAAAGGGAGCAAUUCUCAUCCGAGGAUCCUGAUUCUUCUACUGUAGUGCAAUUUCACCACUCUCUCCAAAUGUCUCCAAGCAAAUUCAAAGCAGCUGAAAAUAACUGCAUGCCUGAGAGGACCACGAAGCUUCAGGCCAGCCCUGUCCCGAAGUCUUCUGUGCUUCAUGUCGAGUGGUCUGCAGUGGACUGUGUCUGCUUGAAGCGAUGCUCCGGAGGGCUUAUUGUUGUGUGGGGUAAAGCAUGAGAUCACUGAAAAAUGAGAGAAAUCGAGCAUACGAAAUGUGAAGCAUAUCUGUUGACACCAUGCGCUCCCUUUGCUUGCACUGGAUGGCGCAUGGUUUCCGUGCGCAGUGCCUGAGGUGUGGGGCAGGCGAGGCCCAUGCAGCCUGGCUCCUUUCCAGAAGGUUGCUGUUCAUUACAGCUCGAGUGUGCUGGGUUCUGCAGAUAUUAUCUAUUUUAAAUUAACGCUCCGUAAAAGGAAUUUAAAGUUUUCUGAAAAGAAACCAAUGAAUGAAGCUAAUAGUAAUAAUGCAAACACAAGCAAGCUGCCAAGUAAGCCAUUUUUCUAUUACGGAGCCCUUCAUCAGUCAUAUUAUUAAAGAAAAAACAACAAUACUAGUAAUAAUGAUCACCUAUUCAAGACCAAGAGGUUGAUCCUCCAAAAUUCAAACAAGGAAAAAUCUCUCCCAAUCUCUCCUUUCCUCCAUCCCUUUUCUUUACUUCUCAUCCCAUAUAUAAUAUUAUAUAAUGCAUACGUAAUAAAAGACAUUCACUAUUAUUAGCAAUGAUUCCUUAUCUGUAUAUUGUGCCUUAAGAUAUAUUAGCAAAUGGUGUGCAUAUUUAGAAGACUUAUUUUUAAAAAUAAUAUAUAUGUUGGGGUAAAGGGUCAACCCUUUAUUCAUUGACAAGCGAGGUUAUCAAAGAAGUCUGGACUCAUUUUUGCUCUUCCAAGUCUAAAUAUAAAUUUUGGUUUAUAAAGGAUUUCAUAUGGUUCCCAACAGCACAUUGUAAAAAUUCAACUCUCUGCCUUACUAGUUAUUGAAGUCAUCUUACAGAUGGCCACAAUAAGUCCCUUCUUAUUUAUUUUUGCCAAUAUAAUUUGUAGGGUAGAUGUAUGUAGUUUGCUUGAUUCUGACCGGAAAUCUGUUCUGUUUCCUGCUUGACUGAAAUUUGGGGCAAUGGAGGCAGCAGAAAUAUGCAAAUAUAAACCUGAGUUACACAAUGGGCUUUGGUUCAGUGGAUGAAUAUUAUUUAAUUUUCCAAUGUCAUUGUAAGAAAUUGAGAGAUGAACUUGAACUUUUAAAACUUUGUGGACAAAAUAUCAUCAAUAUUAAGGGAACAAGUUUCUUAAACUUUAGAAGGAAAUCAAUUCUAAUGUGUAGUUAACCAGAUUGUUCAUUGUUGGGUUUAUCAUUAACUUGGUCUUUACCUCAUUAACUUCCCUCUGUCUUAUUGUUUAUUAUGCUGCGUUUAUUUUCUCUGUAAUCAAGUGUAACUGUAGCAUUGGGGAGAGUAUUAGAUUUUCUAUAGAUUUGGGUGUUUCAUGUGCAGCAGACCACGUGCUAUUUUUGCCCGAGCAGCUCUUGUUCACCUUUGUUCUGGAGACAGAACUCUCCUUUAAUUUUGGAAACUUCCCCUCCUAUUACUGAUAGGGCUGUCAAUCGCAUGUCCCCCAAGCCUCCAUCAAUGUGAUGGCCAGGGACUUGUGUGGGUCACAGACUCAAACCUGAACUUCUGCCGAAGAUAUCAAGAAGGAGAAGCCCUCUAUUUACUGAAGUCUCUGACUGUAAUAACUGAGUGAAUUGAUAUCUUCCAGCAGCCACUGUAGCACCACAAAAGGAAGGCUUGUCCAGGAAUUAAACCAACACAAGGAAAGCCCAGACAAAGAGGGAAGGAUGGGCUCAUGAUGUUUGAACCUCUGAUCUGUCUAUGCCUUGAGCCAGCCACACUGCAGGAUGCUGUUGCUCCAGCAAUUAAAUGUUCUAUUUUUGUUUAGGUUAGUUUGUGUCAGUGUGUGUCACUUAUUACUAAAAUGUUCCUGAGAUAGACAACACUGUGGAGGGAAGAUCAUAUGAACUUAAUGAUUUGACCUAAAAAAUGGCAAUUUCUUAGGAUUCAAACCAAUAUAAUAAAAAAUGCAGGUGGUCAGAUGACUCAAGAACCAUUGCUUUGUGUUCUUGGCCUCUUUGAGCUUCAGUUUCCUCAUAUUGAAAGGAGAGAGAUAACUGUCUACCCACGCAUCGGUUCACACACAGAAACGGGAAAUGCAGGAUCAGGUAAAGCAUAGAAAAACCUUUGUAGACUAUCUGGCUCUAUAAAAUGUUACCUAUUGUUACACAUUGGAAGAUCUGAUUCCUUGAGAUAUAUUACAGUGUAUAGAGUGAGCUUACUGGUCAUGCUUAGGAAAAAUUUUGGAAUUGGUAGCACAUGUGAGGCUGUGAAGACUUCAAAAUUUGACUGCAGAUGUUAUAAAGUCCUGUGUUUUGGCAGAUAAUCAUCUCCCCAUUUAGAAUUCACAGGACUCAUCUGGCAUCCGGUGGAGUUGGUAGGAGCUGAUUAAUGCCUGGCUUCUAGUGGAGAUGAUGAGAACUGGUCAAUGUAAGUUACGUUAGGAUGGCAUUGUGGACGUCAGAAACCCAAAAGAGGACAGAAACCCAAGCCUAAACAAAAAUAGGACAUUUAAUUGCUGGAGCAACAGCAUCCUGCAGUGUGGCUGGCUCAAGGCAUAGACAGAUCAGAGGUUCAAACAUCAUGAGCCCAUCCUUCCCUCUCUGUCUGGGCUUUCCUUGUGUUGGUUUAAUUCCUGGAAAAGCCUUCCUUUUGUGGUGCUACGGUGGCUGUGGAAGUUAUUACAGUCAGAGACUUCAGUAAAUAGAGGGCUUCUCCUUCUUGAUAUCUUCGGCAGAAGUUCAGGUUUGAGUCUGUGGCCCACACAAGUUCCUGGCCAUCACAUUGAUGGAGGUUUGGGGGAGAAGUGAUUGACAGCCCUAUCAGUACUUAGUCUAUGUUGCUUUUAGCCAGUACAGUUCAUCCCAAAACAAUCUUCUAAAAUCGGUACUCUAAGCUUAUCACAUGGAUUAACAAUUACUAAGUGGUUCUAUGAAAAUCCCAACUGAGUUACACAGGCAAGAUCCCAACCCAAGAUUGUCCAAGUAUAAAACGGAGGCUCAGUUCCUCAUUUUGUUACUGUUGCUUUGAAAAGUAAAGACCAUCUAGCCCUUCUGCUGCUGCAAAUGAACUAAGAGAUGAGGUAGGGUGCUUUGUGGCCUGUGACUGGUUGUAGUACAUCCAGUCAUAAGGGGAAAUUCAAUUUCAGGUUGGAAAUCCUUAUAAAUCUAUAGUAGUGUGUAAAGGAGUGUGGUACUUCUGAAAGUAUAAUCGCCAUCUUUUUAAAAGGCCAUUUUGACACAAUGUAUAUGUGUGCAUAUGUACAAACUUGCUCACUAAAAUGGACAUACAGUAAAUCUGGGCUUUGUAACUAGGACUACACGAUACAUAACUCAAUAAUUAGUAUAUGAGGUACUCUGAAAAAUAAAAAUGGUAAAAUAUAUGGAAGACACUGCUUUAAAGAGAUGUAAUGGGUCCCAUUUCGGAG
rnacentral:lncRNA from 1 species